UGAGAGGAAAUGCCCUCCUUCCUCUUUUUCUUCCUCCCCCCACCCCUUCCUGCCAACGCCUGUGCAGGAUGCACCAACGGGGAGUAGUCUGGGUGGGAAAGAACACAUUUUCCUUUUUAAAUGAGAAAGGUUUGUUUCACUCUGGGCCUCCCGCAGCUCAGCCAGGGAUCGAUUUCUCCAUGGCGGUGGGCCACAGGUCGGCCCUCAGGACCGCGUUUGAGAGGGCCAGCCACCUUCAAACCUGCCCACUCUGCCCGGGACUCCAGGCAGAGUGAAGCCCCUGAUCCAGCUUAGAAAAGAAAUCAGUGAGGUUUCUGCUCCCGUUCCUUCAUUCCUACCACCCACCCCUCUUGGCACCCCGAUGUCAUCAGUCCCUCUGGGGGGACCGAACCAUGACAAUGGAGAUCUGUGCUUCUGCUCACUCUAAUGGAGAGUCUCCUCAGCAUCAGCAUCCUCCCCCCUGUGGAAUGGACUACAGUUUAGGAGCUGAGACAGCAGCACCAAGUUGCCAGCCAGGUGAGGGAGCCGUCUUGGAAGUGGAUCCUCCAGCCCCAGUCAGGCCUUCAGGUGACUGCAUCCUCUGCUGAUACUGUGACUAAAACCUUUCUGUAAGAGACCCUGAACUGCAUCUGCCAAGCUAAGGAGAAUUUCUGACCCACAGAAACUGUGUGAGAACUAAAACCCCCAACAAAUGGAAGAUGUUAACUACUUGAUGAAGCAUUCUUCAUUCCAGAGAGAAGGUAACCUUGAGAACCACAGAAGCUCAUCAGGAGACCACCUGAGGCCAGAUUAAAGGAAUGCAGGCCCUUCACACACCCUGAUCCUUAUCAGCAACCCCGCCCUUGAACCAUUGCUAUAAAACUCACCAAGUCCCUCUGGGACACACAGUUUUGAAGGCAUUAGCUUGCUGUGUCCACUUUUGCCCGGCAAAGCAAUAAGGCUAUCCUUUUCUACUGCACCCAAAACUGUAUCCAAGAUUCAAUUUGGCACUGGUACACAGAGGCCGAGUUUCGGCAUCAGUCAUAACAUCUAUCUGCCUGUUUCCAUCAUAUCAUUUGAGCAAAGCAAACUCUUUAAUGUGUGUUCAUUUUUUAUAUUUUUAUGGAAAUCAUGAUUUUACCUUAUAACAAAGUCAUACCUUGUCCCAUUGUGUGGGGUGACGAGUAGCAGCUGGAUGAGUCUUUCUGUGUCCAAAUGAAUCCAAGCAGAGCUACUCUUCUCUGGGUUUACAAGGGGGACAGUGUGUCCAGGGAUGGCAGCUAGGGUGGCUGGCCUGGGCCCUGCAUCCCCACUCACUGAUUGGAAAGUUAUUCAGGAAAACUGGACAUGGUUUAGGGUGGCUCUGACCUUCAAGGAAGGGAAGGGGGUUCUCUGUCAUGGGCUGCCCUGCAGAUGAACUCUGCACUCUCUUUU